rnacentral:rRNA from 1 species
AUGGCCGUCGCCGACGCCGUGCUGCCCUCGCCGCCGCCGCCACCGCCGGCGCGGAUCGUCGUCGUCGUGCGCUUCGCCCUCACCCCGAUGCUGGCGCUCGGGCGCGUCCUCUGCGUCGCGGGGGGAGCCCUCGCCUGCCUGUGCUUCGCCGCUGCGUGGGUCACCUCCGUGGCCGCGGCUGCACAGAUCGUGGCGCGCCGCUCCUGGGGCGAGGGCUCCGCCCCCUUCCUCUUCCUCCAGGCGCUCACGUACGGGGCUCUCAAGGUCUGCGUCUGCAGCUUCCUUGUGUUCGUCGCGCUUGCCGUCCUUUGGGCGUGCGUGGCCUGCGUGAUUGCACUUGUAUCUGGAUCCACUCCGGGAUUCAAGAAGAGCGCCUCCGGACCAAUCACGCGGGAGUCGGUUGCAGGCUUGUUUAGGCUUCUGCGCCCUGCGGUGCUUGGAUUGGUCGCGGAUGUGGCCUUCUUCCUGCUAGCGCUCGCUGGUCUUCUGGUAGCAAUGAUGUCGCCACAUGUGGAGGGAUCGAUAUCUCAGGGGGAAAUGGUUGGUUCUGUAAUCGAGGAUGUGGGGACAUUUGGUAUACACGCGAGACGCGACAGCUUGCGUUGUGAUCCCAGCUCUCGUUCUUAG